GACGAACGCUGGCGGCGUGCUUAACACAUGCAAGUCGAACGAAGUGGCGAACGGGUGAGUAACGCGUAAUCAACCUGCCCUUCAGAGGGGGACAACAGUUGGAAACGACUGCUAAUACCGCAUACUGAAGGAGGGGUUUGCGUUUGAUUAGCUAGUUGGAGGGGUAACGGCCCACCAAGGCGAUGAUCAGUAGCCGGGCUGGGAGGAUGAAAGGGCACAUUGGGACUGGGCCACGGCCCAGACUCCUAAGGGGAGGAGCAGUGGGGGAGUUUCCGCAAUGGACGAAAGUCUGACGAAGCAACGGCGCGUGAGUGAUGACGGCCUUCGGGUUGGAAAGCUCUGUUAAUCGGGACGCGGUACCGGAAGAGAAAGCCACGGCUAACUACGUGCCAGCAGCCGCGGUAAUAC
rnacentral:rRNA from 1 species